AACGCACAUUGCGCCCGCCAGUAUUCUGGCGGGCAUGCCUGUCCGAGCGUCAUUUACAACCCUCGAGCCCCCGGCUCGGUGUUGGGGCGGCUACGCGCGCCGUAGGCCCCGAAUCGCAGUGGCGGGCUCGCCGCGACCCCGAGCGUAGUAGCACACAAGCUCGCUCCAGGGCGCGCCGCGGCGGGCGCCGGCCGUUAAAAAAGAGGGGGGGGGACAACCCCCCGAAAGGUUGACCUCGGAUCAGGUAGGAAUACCCGCUGAACUUAA
rnacentral:misc_RNA from 1 species